rnacentral:rRNA from 1 species
UACGGGGGGGGCAAGCGUUGUUCGGAAUUACUGGGCGUAAAGGGCUCGUAGGCGGCCAACUAAGUCAGACGUGAAAUCCCCUCGGCUUAACCGGGGAACUGCGUCUGAUACUGGAUGGCUUGAGUUCGGGAGAGGGAUGCGGAAUUCCAGGUGUAGCGGUGAAAUGCGUAGAUAUCUGGAGGAACACCGGUGGCGAAGGCGGGUCUCUGGGCCGAUACUGACGCUGAGGAGCGAAAGCGUGGGGAGCGAACAGGA